AAUCAACGCUGGCGGCGUGCCUCAGACAUGCAAGUCGAACGCGAAAGUCCCCUUCGGGGGACGAAGUAGAGUGGCGCACGGGUGAGUAACACGUAGGUAAUCUACCUUCGGAUGGGGAAGUAACAACCGGAAACGGUUGCUAAUACCGCAUAAUGCAGCGGCACCUAAUGGUGACAGUUGUUAAAGACGGGGGAGUCGAAAGACCUCGCGUCUGAAGAGGAGCCUGCGGCGGAUUAG
rnacentral:rRNA from 1 species